rnacentral:rRNA from 1 species
UACGUAGGGUGCGAGCGUUAAUCGGAAUUACUGGGCGUAAAGCGUGCGCAGGCGGUGAUGUAAGUCAGUUGUGAAAUCCCCGGGCUCAACCUGGGAACUGCAUCUGUGACUGCAUUGCUGGAGUGCGGCAGAGGGGGAUGGAAUUCCGCGUGUAGCAGUGAAAUGCGUAGAUAUGCGGAGGAACACCGAUGGCGAAGGCAAUCCCCUGGGCCUGCACUGACGCUCAUGCACGAAAGCGUGGGGAGCAAACAGG